UGGGGAAUAUUGCACAAUGGGCGCAAGCCUGAUGCAGCCAUGCCGCGUGUAUGAAGAAGGCCUUCGGGUUGUAAAGUACUUUCAGCGAGGAGGAAGGCGUUGUGGUUAAUAACCGCAACGAUUGACGUUACACGCAGAAGAAGCACCGGCUAACUCCGUGCCAGCAGCCGCGGUAAUACGGAGGGUGCAAGCGUUAAUCGGAAUUACUGGGCGUAAAGCGCACGCAGGCGGUAUGUCAAGUCGGAUGUGAAAUCCCCGGGCUCAACCUGGGAACUGCAUCCGAAACUGGCAGGCUAGAGUCUUGUAGAGGGGGGUAGAAUUCCAGGUGUAGCGGUGAAAUGCGUAGAGAUCUGGAGGAAUACCGGUGGCGAAGGCGGCCCCCUGGACAAAGACUGACGCUCAGGUGCGAAAGCGUGGGGAGCAAACA
rnacentral:rRNA from 1 species